UCCCUGGCUGUCCAGUGGUUAGGGCUCUGCACUUCCACUGCAGGGGACACAGGUUCGAUUCCUGGUCAGGGAA
rnacentral:tRNA from 1 species